GGACUACCGGGGUUUCUAAUCCCGUUUGCUCCCCUAGCUUUCGCGCCUCAGCGUCAGUAUCGGGCCAGAUGUGCGCCUUCGCCACCGGUGUUCCUCCUGAUAUCUACGCAUUUCACCGCUACACCAGGAAUUCCCACAUCCUCUCCCGUACUCAAGCCAAGCAGUAUGGGAUGCCGGUCCCCGGGUGAGCCGGGGCAUUUCACAUCCCACUUACCUGACCGCCUACACGCCCUUUACGCCCAGUGAUUCCGAACAACGCUUGCUCCCCCCGUGUUACCGCGGCUGCUGGCAC
rnacentral:rRNA from 1 species